AGAGGACCUGCAGGUUUAAAGGUCUGUCUGUCUGUCUGUCUGUCUGUCUGUCUGUCUGUCUGGAUACCCUGGUCUGAGAGGACCUGCAGGUUUAAAGGUCUGUCUGUCUGUCUGUCUGUCUGUCU